UACGGAAUGUGCAAACGUUAUUCGGAAUCACUGGGCUUAAAGAGUCCGUAGGCGGCUUGUUAGGUGAGGUGUGAAAUCCCCCCGGCUCAACCGAGGAAUUGCGCUUCAAACCGGCAAGCUCGAGGAGGAUAGAGGUGGGCGGAACUGAUGGUGGAGCGGUGAAAUGCGUUGAUAUCAUCAGGAACACCGGAGGCGAAAGCGGUCCACUGGGUCCUUUCUGACGCUGAGGGACGAAAGCUAGGGGAGCGAACGGG
rnacentral:rRNA from 1 species